AGGAUGAACGCUGGCGGUCUGCUUAACACAUGCAAGUCGAACGGAGUAGCAAUACUUAGUGGCGGACGGGUGAGUAACGCGUGAGAAUCUACCUUCAGGACGGAGACAACAGUUGGAAACGACUGCUAACCCCCGAUGUACCGAAAGGGCAAAUAUUUAUAGCCUGAAGAAGAGCUCGCGUCCGAUUAGCUAGUUGGAGAGGUAAAAGCUCACCAAGGCGACGAUCGGUAGCUGGUCUGAGAGGACGAUCAGCCACACUGGGACUGAGACACGGCCCAGACUCCUACGGGAGGCAGCAGUGGGGAAUUUUCCGCAAUGGGCGAAAGCCUGACGGAGCAAGACCGCGUGGGGGAAGAAGGGCUCUUGGGUUGUAAAACCCCCUUUUCUCUGGGAAGAACGCAAUGACGGUACCAGAGGAAUCAGCAUCGGCUAACUCCGUGCCAGCAGCCAC
rnacentral:rRNA from 1 species